rnacentral:tRNA from 1 species
AAAUAUGAAGCAAUAACCUGCAGUUAGUUUCGACCUAACCUAGAGAUAUAAUAAUUAUCCAUAUUUU